rnacentral:rRNA from 1 species
ACGGAAGUCGUUAUGAUGAUUUCAACACUGACAGAGAACUUGUUCAAAGAAAGUAGAGAUUGACUUAUAACAAUGGCUUUAGUGGCGGACUGGUGAGUAACACGUGAGCAACCUGCCUAUCAGAGGGGAAUAACAGUGAGAAAUCAUUGCUAAUACCGCAUAUGCCAUAAAUAUCACAUGAUGAAAGUGGGAAAGGAGUAAUCCGCUGAUAGAUGGGCUCGCGUCUGAUUAGAUAGUUGGUGGGGUAACGGCCUACCAAGUCGACGAUCAGUAGCCGGACUGAGAGGUUGAACGGCCACAUUGGGACUGAGAUACGGCCCAGACUCCUACGGGAGGCAGCAGUCGGGAAUAUUGCGCAAUGGAGGAAACUCUGACGCAGUGACGCCGCGUAUAGGAAGAAGGUUUUCGGAUUGUAAACUAUUGUCGUUAGGGAAGAUACAAGACAGUACCUAAGGAGGAAGCUCCGGCUAACUACGUGCCAGCAGCCGCGGUAAUACGUAGGGAGCAAGCGUUAUCCGGAUUUAUUGGGUGUAAAGGGUGCGUAGACGGGAAAGCAAGUUAGUUGUGAAAUCCCUCGGCUUAACUGAGGAACUGCAACUAAAACUACUUUUCUUGAGUGUUGGAGAG